CAGCAAGGAGCUGAGCCCCUGGUGGAGAGGCAAGCACGGCUUCCAGGUUGGAUUUUUUCCUGGCGACUGUGUGGAGCUCAUUACUAACAAUGUUCCUGAGGCUCUCCUCAACUCAGUGCCAAAGCCAGCGCCAAAGAAACGCGGCAAGCUCAUCACCUUCCUUCGUUC